rnacentral:rRNA from 1 species
AUUGAACGCUGGCGGCAGGCCUAACACAUGCAAGUCGAACGGGUGGCGGACGGGUGAGCAAUGUCGGGGAACCUGCCUGAUGGAGGGGUCUAAAUACUGGAAACGGUAGCUAAUAGCGCAUACUAUGCGAUGUGCCCUGAUGGGAUUAGAUAGGAGGUGUGGUAAAGGCCCACCUAGGCGACGCUCCCUAGCUGGUCUGAGAGGAUGACCAGCCACACUGGGACUGAGAAACGGUCCAGACUCCUACGGGAGGCAGCAGUGGGGAAUAUUGCACAAUGGGCGAAAGCCUGAUGCAGCCACGCCGCGUGGAUGAAGAAGGCCUUCGGGUUGUAAAGGACUUUCAGUGGGGAGGCGUUACCUGCAGAAGAAGCACCGGCUAACUCCGUGCCAGCAGCCGCGGUAAUAC